GACGAACGCUGGCGGCGUGCUUAACACAUGCAAGUCGAACGGAAAGGCCCUGCUUUUGUGGCGUGCUCGAGUGGCGAACGGGUGAGUAACACGUGAGUAACCUGCCCUUGACUUUGGGAUAACUUCAGGAAACUGGGGCUAAUACCGGAUAGGAGCUCCUGCUGCAUGGUGUGGAUUGGAGAGUUUCGGCGGUUGGGGAUGGUCUCGCGGCUUAUCAGCUUGUUGGUGGGGUAGUGGCUUACCAAGGCUUUGACGGGUAGCCGGCCUGAGAGGGUGACCGGGCACAUUGGGACUGAGAUACGGCGCAGAAUGCUACGGGAGGCAGCAGUGGGGAACAUUGCACAAUGGGCGGAAGCCUGAUGCAGCAACGCCGCGUGCGGGAUGACGGCCUUCGGGUUGUAAACCGCUUUCGCCGGUGACGAAGCGGGAGUGACGGUAAUGGGUAAAGAAGCACCGGCUAACUACGUG
rnacentral:rRNA from 1 species